AGUCAGCAUCUACGGAGUAGCGGUUCAGGCUUCUCACUGUUGGAAGCAGAAGGCGCGAGUUCGAUUCACGCGCGAGGAGGUUCUUAAUUGCGUACUCUGUGCCACCACUUUCAAAGAGGAAAUUUACUUGUGAAUCCGAAGCACUAACCUGCAAGUUCUCGGCAUAGAGCAUGCUCUUAAGGAUCUGGUUGCUACGGCGACGAACAGCCUGACUCUCCAUCACAUUCUCCAGGAAGGUGAGGAUGUCUCUCAGCUUGGUGUCAGAUGGCAGCAGUUCCAGGGCCUGAGGAGAAAAGAACAACAAAAUUGUCAGUGUUGUGUGCUCCCAUCUACACAAUUACGAUCUACUGAGAGGUGGACUGCUUCGACUCUGCCCAUCAGGGCCAACCCAAGUUAAGUUGAUCCUGGCAGAGACAUAGAGAUACUCAUUAAAAAGAACUUCCCAACUCGAGAAUUGAACUUACAUCUUUUAUGUGAAAUGACAAAUCGCUUUUAACACCUGCACUGCAGAUGCUGGUGGAGAUAAAUAAAAUACAUCAAGU